rnacentral:rRNA from 1 species
UACAGAGGUCUCAAGCGUUGUUCGGAUUCAUUGGGCGUAAAGGGUGCGUAGGUGGUGACGCAAGUCUGGUGUGAAAUCUCGGAGCUCAACUCCGAAAUUGCACCGGAUACUGCGUGACUCGAGGACUGUAGAGGAGAUCGGAAUUCACGGUGUAGCAGUGAAAUGCGUAGAUAUCAAGAGGAACACCUGCGGCGAAGGCGGGUUGCUGGGCCGACACUGACGCUGAUGCGCGAAAGCUAGGGGAGCGAACGGG